rnacentral:tRNA from 3 species
CGCGGGGUGGAGCAGUCUGGUAGCUCGUUGGGCUCAUAACCCAAAGGUCGCUGGUUCAAAUCCAGCCCCCGCUA